GGGUCAGUAGGUUGGUCGUGCCACCGGUACGUACUGGUCUCACUGAUUCCUCCUUCCUGAAGAACCGUAAUGCCAUUAAUUUGGUGUUGCGGGGAAACAGGACUAUUACUUUGGAAAAAUUAGAGUGUUUAAAGCAAGCUAACGCUUGAAUACAUUAGCAUGGAAUAAUGAAAUAGGACGAUCGAUCCUAUUUUGUUGGUUUCUAGGAUUGACGUA
rnacentral:rRNA from 1 species